AGCGUACACGGUGGAUGCCCUGGCAGUCAGAGGCGAUGAAGGACGUGCUAAUCUGCGAUAAGCGUCGGUAAGGUGAUAUGAACCGUUAUAACCGGCGAUUUCCGAAUGGGGAAACCCAGUGUGAUUCGACACACUAUCAUUAACUGAAUCCAUAGGUUAAUGAGGCGAACCGGGGGAACUGAAACAUCUAAGUACCCCGAGGAAAAGAAAUCAACCGAGAUUCCCCCAGUAGCGGCGAGCGAACGGGGAGCAGCCCAGAGCCUGAAUCAGUGUGUGUGUUAGUGGAAGCGUCUGGAAAGGCGCGCGAUACAGGGUGACAGCCCCGUACACAAAAAUGCACAUGCUGUGAGCUCGAUGAGUAGGGCGGGACACGUGGUAUCCUGUCUGAAUAUGGGGGGACCAUCCUCCAAGGCUAAAUACUCCUGACUGACCGAUAGUGAACCAGUACCGUGAGGGAAAGGCGAAAAGAACCCCGGCGAGGGGAGUGAAAAAGAACCUGAAACCGUGUACGUACAAGCAGUGGGAGCCUCUUUAUGGGGUGACUGCGUACCUUUUGUAUAAUGGGUCAGCGACUUAUAUUCUGUAGCAAGGUUAACCGAAUAGGGGAGCCGAAGGGAAACCGAGUCUUAACUGGGCGUUAAGUUGCAGGGUAUAGACCCGAAACCCGGUGAUCUAGCCAUGGGCAGGUUGAAGGUUGGGUAACACUAACUGGAGGACCGAACCGACUAAUGUUGAAAAAUUAGCGGAUGACUUGUGGCUGGGGGUGAAAGGCCAAUCAAACCGGGAGAUAGCUGGUUCUCCCCGAAAGCUAUUUAGGUAGCGCCUCGUGAAUUCAUCUCCGGGGGUAGAGCACUGUUUCGGCAAGGGGGUCAUCCCGACUUACCAACCCGAUGCAAACUGCGAAUACCGGAGAAUGUUAUCACGGGAGACACACGGCGGGUGCUAACGUCCGUCGUGAAGAGGGAAACAACCCAGACCGCCAGCUAAGGUCCCAAAGUCAUGGUUAAGUGGGAAACGAUGUGGGAAGGCCCAGACAGCCAGGAUGUUGGCUUAGAAGCAGCCAUCAUUUAAAGAAAGCGUAAUAGCUCACUGGUCGAGUCGGCCUGCGCGGAAGAUGUAACGGGGCUAAACCAUGCACCGAAGCUGCGGCAGCGACGCUUAUGCGUUGUUGGGUAGGGGAGCGUUCUGUAAGCCUGUGAAGGUGUACUGUGAGGUAUGCUGGAGGUAUCAGAAGUGCGAAUGCUGACAUAAGUAACGAUAAAGCGGGUGAAAAGCCCGCUCGCCGGAAGACCAAGGGUUCCUGUCCAACGUUAAUCGGGGCAGGGUGAGUCGACCCCUAAGGCGAGGCCGAAAGGCGUAGUCGAUGGGAAACAGGUUAAUAUUCCUGUACUUGGUGUUACUGCGAAGGGGGGACGGAGAAGGCUAUGUUGGCCGGGCGACGGUUGUCCCGGUUUAAGCGUGUAGGCUGGUUUUCCAGGCAAAUCCGGAAAAUCAAGGCUGAGGCGUGAUGACGAGGCACUACGGUGCUGAAGCAACAAAUGCCCUGCUUCCAGGAAAAGCCUCUAAGCAUCAGGUAACAUCAAAUCGUACCCCAAACCGACACAGGUGGUCAGGUAGAGAAUACCAAGGCGCUUGAGAGAACUCGGGUGAAGGAACUAGGCAAAAUGGUGCCGUAACUUCGGGAGAAGGCACGCUGAUAUGUAGGUGAAGCGACUUGCUCGUGGAGCUGAAAUCAGUCGAAGAUACCAGCUGGCUGCAACUGUUUAUUAAAAACACAGCACUGUGCAAACACGAAAGUGGACGUAUACGGUGUGACGCCUGCCCGGUGCCGGAAGGUUAAUUGAUGGGGUUAGCGGUAACGCGAAGCUCUUGAUCGAAGCCCCGGUAAACGGCGGCCGUAACUAUAACGGUCCUAAGGUAGCGAAAUUCCUUGUCGGGUAAGUUCCGACCUGCACGAAUGGCGUAAUGAUGGCCAGGCUGUCUCCACCCGAGACUCAGUGAAAUUGAACUCGCUGUGAAGAUGCAGUGUACCCGCGGCAAGACGGAAAGACCCCGUGAACCUUUACUAUAGCUUGACACUGAACAUUGAGCCUUGAUGUGUAGGAUAGGUGGGAGGCUUUGAAGUGUGGACGCCAGUCUGCAUGGAGCCGGCCUUGAAAUACCACCCUUUAAUGUUUGAUGUUCUAACGUUGGCCCCUAAUCGGGGUUGCGGACAGUGUCUGGUGGGUAGUUUGACUGGGGCGGUCUCCUCCUAAAGAGUAACGGAGGAGCACGAAGGUUGGCUAAUCCUGGUCGGACAUCAGGAGGUUAGUGCAAUGGCAUAAGCCAGCUUGACUGCGAGCGUGACGGCGCGAGCAGGUGCGAAAGCAGGUCAUAGUGAUCCGGUGGUUCUGAAUGGAAGGGCCAUCGCUCAACGGAUAAAAGGUACUCCGGGGAUAACAGGCUGAUACCGCCCAAGAGUUCAUAUCGACGGCGGUGUUUGGCACCUCGAUGUCGGCUCAUCACAUCCUGGGGCUGAAGUAGGUCCCAAGGGUAUGGCUGUUCGCCAUUUAAAGUGGUACGCGAGCUGGGUUUAGAACGUCGUGAGACAGUUCGGUCCCUAUCUGCCGUGGGCGCUGGAGAACUGAGGGGGGCUGCUCCUAGUACGAGAGGACCGGAGUGGACGCAUCACUGGUGUUCGGGUUGUCAUGCCAAUGGCACUGCCCGGUAGCUAAAUGCGGAAGAGAUAAGUGCUGAAAGCAUCUAAGCACGAAACUUGCCCCGAGAUGAGUUCU
rnacentral:rRNA from 1 species